UUGCCCGUCUUACAUCUGUUGACCUGAAAGGGUUCCUUUUUGCUGUGCUUGACCAUUAUGGAGAGGUUCGUGGAGCUGUACAAAAUCAAGAGCGGCAUAGAAAGGCUAACUAGGCUCAUAAGAUGCUUCGGAGAUGAUAGCCCUACACAAAGGAAGAGGACAGAGGACCUCAUUUUCUAAAGGAAGAUCCCUCACACACUUUCAAGACUGUGAAGCCGACAGGUAUUGAAGACACGUUUUCUAAGAGGAUGAAAGUUGGCAUUGCGAUGGUGA